rfam:Streptococcus henryi strain A-4 genome assembly, contig: IE83DRAFT_scaffold00023.23
AAAACCUUUAAUUUGGUCCAGAGAGGCUGCAAAGGUUACAAGAAGCAACCGACAGGAUUUUUUCUGCCUUUGAUUUACAUAAAUGACUUCUAGAAUUGCAAAAAUUUAGUGCAUUUAGGUAAAUGGUGGAUUUAUCCGUCCAUUUCAUGUGACCUUACCCUCUGGGUAAGGUUUUUUUGUCA